AGUUGUAAUUUGCAGAGGAUGCUUCGGGUUCGGUUCCGGUCUAAGUUCCUUGGAACAGGACGUCAUAGAGGGUGAGAAUCCCGUAUGUGACCGGCCGCCACGCCCGUGUGAAGCUCCUUCGACGAGUCGAGUUGUUUGGGAAUGCAGCUCAAAAUGGGUGGUAAAUUUCAUCUAAAGCUAAAUAUUGGCCAGAGACCGAUAGCGCACAAGUAGAGUGAUCGAAAGAUGAAAAGCACUUUGGAAAGAGAGUCAAACAGUACGUGAAAUUGUUGAAAGGGAAGCGCUUGCAACCAGACUUGCCCGCGGGUGAUCAGCCGGUAUUCUUACCGGUGCACUCGCCCGUGGUCAGGCCAGCAUCGGUUUGGGCGGCUGGAUAAAGUCCCCCGGAACGUAGCUCCUCUCGGGGAGUGUUAUAGCCGGGGGUGCAAUGCAGCCCGCCCGGACCGAGGACCGCGCUUCGGCUAGGAUGCUGGCGUAAUGGUUGUAAGCGACCCGUCUUGAAACACGGACCAAGGAGUCUAACAUCUAUGCGAGUGUUUGGGUGUCAAACCCAUGCGCGUAAUGAAAGUGAACGGAGGUGGGAACCCUUCAGGGUGCACCAUCGACCGAUCCUGAUGUCUUCGGAUGGAUUUGAGUAAGAGCAUAGCUGUUGGGACCCGAAAGAUGGUGAACUAUGCCUGAAUAGGGUGAAGCCAGAGGAAACUCUGGUGG
rnacentral:rRNA from 1 species